ACCAAUACCAUAGUGUCUUGAUCACUACAGCUUUGCAGUAUAACUUGACAUCUGGAAUUGUGAUGUCUCCGGCUUUUCUUUUCAUUUUCAAGAUUCUUUUUGCUAUUCCAGGUCUUUUCUGGUUCUGUACACACUUUAGGAUGGU